CCGGGACCGCAAUUCCCGGCAGGGAGCACGCCCUCCCGCUCCUGCAGAGGGGGGGGGGGGGGGGGGGGGGGAAGAAUUCAGGGGGCUGCGGGGCCGUCGGGGCAGAGCCCUCGGGUUUGAGGGGCCACGCACUACCCCGUCCCCAGGCGCUCUCCCUGACUCCUUUUCUCUUGCCAUACAGCAGCGGCGCCAAGGGGUUGGUAUGGGGGGACCUUCUUUGUCAGUUACCGUCGAGGCUUGGAGUAAUAUAAUUAAAACCGGGGUGCAGAAGAAAAACAAGCACCGUAGCCCUGGCUUUCGACUCAUUAGGCCGCUCAGCACCUCCUGCAUCGCAAUACCGGCCCCCCAAUCUGACCCCGGCCCCUGGCCCCAGUUGGAAAAGCAGCGUUAGUCCCCACGGAGGUUGGAGGUGAGAGAGCUCCUUGCACCAUCCCCAACCCCCGCCCCCGGUUGGGCUGCCCUCCCAUUCCCUAGCGCGGUGGUUCUCAGACUCCCGCGUGCAUCUCCCGGAGGGCUUGAUAAAACACGCAUUGAUAGACCUCAGAGAUUCUGUUUUGGGUCUGCGGUGUGACCCAAGAAUUGGCAAAUCUACCAAGCUGCCGGGAGAUGCUGAUGCUACUGGUCUGGGACCACACCGCAAAAUCACCGCGCAGCUUCACCAUGGGCCCGACAUCCCGCGAGGGCCAGUAAGUGUCAUCCGAACACACCAAAAAACCAGCCUGUCAAGUUGGACACAGAACCUUGAAGAGGGUAGGUGCCAGCCAUAGAUUGAAGGUGUUCCACCAAUAAAUUUCCUGCAUGUCCAGACCCGUCUCGGUGUCUGCCUCUCAAAGGACCCAAACUGAUGCACGCAACCCCAUGCUGGGUGGGACUCGAGGUUCUGCCUCUGCUGUAUACGUUGCACCAAACUCUGAGGCAAGAGGAAAGAGUAUGAGUUUCACAUUUCCAGCUUAUGCAUGCAGGGUUCCCGCUUGCUUGGAUCUUCUUCUUUUCCUUGCCUUCCCAGUGGACUCUGCAUCAGAUACAGAGUUUGUUCCUGCCACCGCUGCCCUCUGGAGAACUGGUCUUGCUGAGUUGUCGGGAUGAUGUCAUCCGCCUGUGCUGAGAGACAGGGGAGGAAACGGCCCAAAUGACACUCACUGUCAUCUGUCUUACAGAAUGUUGUCAAGCUGUGCUGUUUUGUAUCCCAGUGUCUAUUUAUAAGACUCCUCAGAGACUUGCCUAACUGGUCUUAGAAGCAAAAACAGUUGUAUUACUCCUGGAAAGCUGUUCUUUUUCCUCCGAGAAGCCCAUCUCCAAGGGUCCAGUAUUCUCUUCUCCCUGUCAUUCCGGAAUGAAGCAAAGAAACAAAGGAAGGAGGAAAAGGAGAAAAUACUUUGAGCUAUGAAAAAUCAAAGCAGAUAGGUGAUCAAAGGAAUCCAAAUACACAGGCAUUUUGUGUUUUUUUCCUCAGCGGAAUUUUAACAUUAACUCAUCACAGAUUCGUACCAAGUAAUAAUUAUGUACUCGCUUUUCAAAGCUCUGAAGUACAAACAGUAAGUGCCUGAAGAGGGCAUUCUCUGUAUGUGCCUUGUCUACAGACUCCUAAGUUCUUCUUCCCACCAUGUUUUUAGAAAUAACCAGCACAGUUAGGACUUUGUAGAAUGACAUUCGGACACUAUGCUUUCAUUUGAAGCCAGGCACAAUAAAAAUGUCUUUGAGGCUUUGUCCUGA